rnacentral:rRNA from 1 species
CGGCCGCGUCGACGUGAAUUGCGUAGAGAUCUGGAGGAACACCGGUGGCGAAAGCGGCUCUCUGGUCUGUAACUGACGCUGAGGCUCGAAAGCGUGGGGAGCAAACAGGAUUAGAUACCCUGGUAGUCCACGCCGUAAACUAUGAGUGCUAGGUGUUGGGUCCUUUCCGGGACUCAGUGCCGCAGCUAACGCAUUAAGCACUCCGCCUGGGGAGUACGACCGCAAGGUUGAAACUCAAAGGAAUUGACGGGGGCCCGCACAAGCGGUGGAGCAUGUG